rnacentral:lncRNA from 9 species
CCAAAAACUCCAUACCCGCCGGCUUACCUGUCAGCUGAGGUCCGCUGACAGCCUUACUGCACUCCCUCUGGCGGGCGCCUGGGGUCCCUCAGCAUACCCUUCGGCGCUCGCCUCUGCCCCACGCGCGCAACACCCACGCACGCAACGCACGCAACGCACGCAACGCACGCAACGCACACCCCGCAGGCGCCACCCGCAAGAGGCUCCCCGCCCCCCGAGACCAGCCCAGCAGU